rnacentral:lncRNA from 10 species
CUUCUUGGCAUCAGCUGCUGUCCCUCUGUCUCAAGGGAAGCAGCAUCUGGGAAGUCGACAGACUUCAAGGACUGGGUAAGUCAACUAGAGUGCACCUGGAAAUCCUCUGUCUCUGGCCUCUGGGCUCUCCAGCUAUCUACAGCAGUAUUGGUCGUCUGUGCUGCCAUCUUGGCCUCUGUGCCAUCUAGACCUAACACAGGUUAGUCUGUGGUGCCUUUUGGACCUCUGUGAAGUCUGGACCCAACACAGGUCAUCUGUGGUGCCAUCUGGGUUUGAGACAAGAUCUCAGGACUUUUCCCCAGCCUCCCUUCUUCAGGGAGCAGUUUGGAGUCCCCUGUCUGCAUCUGCAUCUGUGUUUGUGUCUCUGUUUAUUGUUACCCCUCUCUUUGAGGGUGCUUUGGCAUGGUCUCCAUCCCACCAGCCAAGACUAAGUCAGAAAGUAGCAAGAUGGGUUGCUGCUCUCCUCCCUAGGGGAGAAACAGUUUCCAACAUCCCAGCCCUGGAUUUUGUCAUCGUCUUUGGGACUCUAGUGUACUUCCUGUAUCUGUGUCAAGCUUUGUAGGGGGAGAAAGCAUGUGAACUCUUUUCUAGACUAUCUGGGACUUGAGCUGGUUACAUAUUAUGGCCAGUUUCUGUGCACAUUUUACACUGAUAGGCAAAUGACAGUAAAGAAAAUCCAGAGCUCAAAUGGUUAACAUGGAACUAUAAAGGAAAUAAGAUGCUGCUAAAAUCCUGAGAAAACCAAGGGCCAGACCAAUAGCUAGCCAAAGAGUGGACAGGACCUCAUGAUGGCAUAGGAUGGUUGACAGUGGUGCAAAUCCAGCAUUCGCCAGCCCUCUUGCAUUGUGAUAAACACUAGCAAUGACAGCCACAUCCCUGCCUUGGGGCCCAUCUUUAAGAGGAUAUGUCUAAAGUUUCUGUAUUAUUAUAGUGUUCUGACAUAUAACCUUUAUAAAAGAUAAGGAAGUUCUUUUCUAUUCCUAGAUUGUAAUGAAGUCAUUAUUAUUAUUGUUGUUGUCAUUGUAAUUAUUAUCACUGUGAAUAGGUGAAUUUUAUCAAUAAUUUUUCUGUAUCUAUUGAGAUAAUCAUACAAAUUUUCUUCUUUAAUAAAUCAUAAAUAAUGUUUACAUAUUUUCUAAUGUUGAGCCAUCCUUGCAUUCUUGAGAUAAAUCCUACCUGGUUAUAAUGUAUAUUUUAAUAUGUUUACAUUGUGUUAGCUAAUAUUUUACUUAAGCUUUUGCAUUUGCAUUUGUAAGUAAUAUGAGCUUCUUUCCUUUUUAAGUUUAGUUUAGGGAUCAAGGUUACACCAGCUUCCUAACGUGAGCUGAGCAAUCUUUACUUUUUUUCACACUGAAUUAAUCACCCCUUGAGAGUUGUUUACAGAUCUCCCACAAAACUGUCUAGACAGGGGGCUCAUUGGAAGGGGAAUUAUUAGAUUCCAAUUUAUUUAACAUUCAUUGGCUUAUUCAAAUUUCCUGUUUCUUUUUGUGCCAAUUUUUGCAUUGUCUGUUUUCCUAGAACUUCAUCCACAUCAUCUAGGCUUUUCAAUUUAUCUACAAGUAGUUAUCAUGCUCUUUUACUACUAUCCAAAGUAAAUCCCUCUUUCGUCCCUUGAGUAUAUGCUUUUCCACUCUCUCAAUUCCUCUUCCGUUUCACUCUGCUUGGGUGUUGCUGGUGUCACUGUUCUCACUUUCACUGAUUUCUGCCCUUUACCUUCUUGCUUUUGGUUUGCCUUAUUGCCCAUUUUCUAAUGUCUUUAUGUGAAUGUUUAGUGCAUUUUUUCUGUGUUUUUGGUUCCUGGUAAUUUUGUUUAAAAUCAUAAAUUUCCCAUUGAAUGCUGAUUGACUGUAACAUUUUUAUACUGUUGAUUUAUGAAGUUUUAACAUUUUUCAUAUUUCUUUUUUAAACCAAAGGUUAUUUAGUAAUGUGGAAUUCAAUUUCUGGCCACAUGGGAUUUAAGGAAGAAUUCCUUCACUAUUAAGUUCUAAUUGUAUUACAUAAUUAUUUUCAAAUAAAGCCUCUAUGAUGGUGACUCAGUGAAACAAGUUGAAGUUUCCUUUGUGGCAUAGUGAAUGGUCACAAAUCUUUGUCAGUAUUUCAUAUGUGUUCAAAAAAUGUGUAUUCUUUGUAUUUGGCAGUGGGGGGUGGAAGUAUAUACCUCUACAUAUUUCAAAUAGCUAAAACUUAUUGAUUAAAUUAUUCAGCUGUUUUAGCCCAAUCCUGUCAUAAUCAGGGGUGAGCUGAGGGAUAUUGUGAUUUGAUAUCUUUUUCCUACCAUCAUGUGUGGCUGGGUCAGGUAAAAAUUAGCCAGCGUUCUUCAGAGAAAUGGGACAAAUUUUGUGUGUGUGUGUGUAUGUGUAGAAAGAGAUGUAUUAUAAGGAAUUAGCUCAUGCGAUUAUGGAAGCUGACAAGUCCCAAGGUCUGCAGGAUGAGUUGAUGAAUUAAAGACCCAGGAGAACCAGUGGUGUAGUUCCAGUCUAAAUGCAGACAGGCUCAAGACUGGGGAAGAGCUGAUGUUUCAGUACUAGUACAACGGCAGGAAAAAGCCAAUGCUCCAGUUCAAACGCAGUCAGACAGGAAGAAUUCUCUCAUAUUUGGCCUGCCUUUUGCUCUAUUCAGGACUCCAAUUGAUGGGAUGAGGGCAAUCCACUUUACUUAGUCUACAGAUUUAAAUGUGAAUCUCAUCUAAAAGCACCCUCACGGAAACACCCUGAAUAAUGUUUGACCAUAUAUAUCUGGGCACCCUGUGGCCCAGUCAAGUUGGCAUAUAAAAUUAACCAUUGCAGUGUGUAAAGCAUAUGUGGGAAAAUAGUUUGAGGCAGAUGGAAGAACACUUUGCCUGUCAUAAUGGGAGAGAGGGCCCUGAAUGUACUGAAUGUGAAACCAUAAGUGAGUGUACUUGUCAAUGGGAUGUGGAAGGACUGUGGCAUAAUAAAAAAUAAAUAUCUGGUCUUUGUCUUGGCACAGAGUUCCUAAAACGCUUGGAAUCUCCUGAGUGAUAAGAAUGUCUUUUGCGUGCUUGCUUUGGCAGCACAGAUACUAAAAUUGGAAUGAUACAGAGAAGAUUAGCAUGACUUCUGUGCAAAGAUGACAUGCAAAUUCGUGAAGGAUUUCAUUAAUAAAAAUAAUGGCUUUUGUAAGCUAAUGAGAUGAUUGGUGGCUGGGAGCCCCUACAUAGCUUCAGGAUCAGGGCUGAUCACCAGAAAGACCAAGCCAUGAUUAGAGGAUUGGGAAUUUCAGACCCACCCCCCAACCUCCUGGGUGGGGAAAGAGGCUAGAAAUUGACAGCAAUCAUUGAUGAUCAAUUAUUUCAUCAAUCAUGCCUAUGUAACAAGGCCUCCCUCCGUAAAACCCCCUAAACAACAGGGUUUGGAGAGCUUCCAGUUUGGUGAACAUGAGGAGGUGCUGGGAGGUGUGUGCCCAGCAAGGGUGUGGAAGCCCCACACCCCUUCUGAGACUUUGCUAUAUGCGUUUCUUUCAUCCAGCUCUUCCUGAGUUGCACUCUUUAUCACAAGCCAGGAAUGGUGAGUGCAGCACUUUCCUGAGUUCUGUGAGUGUUUCUAGUGGAUUCUUGAACCUGAGGGGAGAGGGCUGUGGGAACUUCCAAAUUUGUAGUUGCCUGGGCAGAAAAGGGUACCCCAUUUGUGGCUGGCAUCUGCAGAAAGAAGUCAUGUGGGACUGGGCCCUUCAAUUGGUGGAGUCCAAGGCUAACUCUGUGUAGUUAGCAUCAGAAUUGAGUUGUUGAAUUCCCAGUUAGUGCAGGAGAAUUGUAGAGUUGGUGUCAGGGGGAAGAAGAACUUUUUCAGAGACUUAUGGGGACUUGUAUUUUCUCUGUGAAAUAAGAGGUAAGGUGGCCUAACAAGACAGAAUAUGGUUCAAUAAUACAAGAAAGAUGUAAAUCAUAAAAGUAAGAAGCACAGCUCUAUUUUAGGGAGACAGUGUGGUGUGGAAGCCCGGGAGACAGGGGAAGCCCGGAGGCUGAUGCCACCCUCACCAUGUUACUAACUGGUGACCUUGGGAGGUCACUUAUUCACCCUCUGCCUCUGUGUUCUCAUCUGUAAGAUGAGGGAGAAUUGUAGGCUUGAAGUUCUUGUGAGGAAUACAUAAAGAUCCCACCAUGUCCUUAGCUCUCAUUAAUCAAUUAUUUACUUAUUUUAAAAUAUUUAUGUAUUUAUAUGUUUUAAAUAACAAAAAUUAUAUCGAGAUGAUGUCUUGAUGUAUGUAUACUCAUUAAUUAUCAGCUGCUAUUAUAAUUAUUUGCAGUGACACUAUUUCCUACCUAAAAACCCAAGAGAAGAGGUUGAAAAACUUCUAAAAUACUUUUAAGACCUGUUACUAAGUUGGUAGGAAAAAAUCCAAAGCUUUUCUAAAUAUCAGCAUUAAUCAGAAAGAAAAUAUAAUGAAUAAGCCUCCAACUGCAAAAACAAAAAAUGCUGGAUAAAAUAUAACAAAAAUGAACCUGAACAUUCAUAUGGAAGAGUAAAAGUUCAUGGAAAGUUUGGUAUCAAAGUAGGAAUUUUUUAAAAAGCCAGUGAAAUAGAGUAAAACAGCCCUGAUCCUAGAUGAGAACACUGAUAUGCCACAGAGAUGCCAUAAUAAAUUGCUGGUGAAACAAUAGACUUUUACAUAAAUGGUUCUGGGAAAUUGGUUAUUUAGAUGGAAAUUUAAAAAUUCAUUCCCCUGUAUCAUACCAUGCACAAGAAUAAAUUUCAAAUGGAAUAAGUGCCUAAAUUUGAAACAUGUUUAACAUUGGAGGAAACAAAUGAGAAAGUAUCUUUAUGACAUUGGUGUAGGGAAGAACUUCUUGAACAAGGCAUAAAGGAUAAGAUUAAUUAAUUUUACCACAUUAAAAUGGAAGCUUUUAGGCGAUAAGAGACACCAAUGACAAAGCAAACAGACAUUCUUCAGAAGGAGGAAGACACAUGCAAUGUCCAAAACCAAUGGAGAAUUAGCCCCCAGCUGAUAGAAGAACUCCUACAACUCAGCAGGAAAAAGACAAAAAUUUGCACAGAAAAAUAAGCAGAGACUAGAAACAGGCAAUUCAGAGGAGAAGAAAUCUAAAUGGCAAAUAAACACAUAAAAACAUAAUGAAGCCUAUUAAAACACAGAAAAUGUAUAUUAAAACAAUCAUAAGAUGUUAUUCCAUACCCAUCACCUCCUCAAAAUGUAUAAAGUAUGACAAUAAGCAAGUGUUGGCGGAAUGUGGAGCAGUGGGAACUCUGGUGCCCUGCUGGUGGAGUUUAAACUGGCACAGCCACUUUGGAGAACAAUUUGGUAUUUUCCAGUAAACCUGAAGAUACACAUACCUCAUGACCUAGAAAUUCCACUUCUAAGUAUCCAGCUGAGAGAAGCUCUGAAGUAUGUGUAGGAGGAGAAAUAUGCAAGGAUGUUUGCUAUUUGUAAUGGUUAAAAAUAAUAGUAACAACAUGGGAACAACGUAAAUGUCCAUCAGCAGGAAACUGAAUCACAAAUUGUGGCAUUUUCAUGCAGCAGUGAACAUGAGUGAAAUAUAUUUGCAUUGAUAUAUCUCAAAAAUCUAAUGCUGGUAGAAAAAAAGUUAACAAACAAGAUUUAUAGUGUGAUAAUGUGAAGUUUUAAUGAAUGUAAAACAAUUCUACACAUUGUUUACAGACACAUGUAUGUUUAAUAAAAGUAUACAAUUUGAUGGCAGUUAGCAAAAGAGGCGAGCUGUGGGGAGAGAGAUUGGAGAAGAGCAAAAAGAGCUUAAGUGUAAUAUCUUUUUUAAAAAAUCUCAAAUAAAUUGUGCCACAAUGCUAAAUUUGUUAAAUUUGUCAAAUUGUAGUGGUAAGUAUUCAUUAUCUUGUUCUCAUCACUUUUCAGUGUUUGGAGAUAUUUCCUAAUAAGAAUGAAAAUAGAUGAACUAAGUCAUAAACCCUGAACUCUAGAAAAAGAAUAGCAGCAGCAAAAAAUGGUGAAAAAGGAAG